GUGAAUAGCAGCUGCCUGCGCCUCCUCGUUUGACAGCCGUACCUCUGCUGCAGAGACCAGAAAUGUACGUCCCUGAACACCGGCCUGGCAAGAGUAGAUGGUUUUCUGCUGCGUGGCUGAGCUGAUGGGCACAGAAGAGGAAGCAGAACGGCGUGGCUGGCAGCGGAGGCAGGGCAAGGAGUGAACCCUCAGCCUUUCAUCUGCAAGGACAGCGUUGGGUGACUUCACUCCCAUGAUACAGAAAAUGUCGCUGUCCUGACCAGUAGCCAUGAAGAGAAGGGAGUGAAGCAAAUUUGUCUGGAGAAGUAGGAAGUUUUGAAAUUUUCAGCAGGAUUUAUUGCCAGUAGCUGCAGAAGGUUUUGCAAAGCCAACCCUUGGCAUUAGAAUGGAUGAAACAGCUCAAACUUAAGCGGAACAACACCAGCCUUUGUUCCUGCUCUUUGGCUUGGCACUUAGAGCAGGGAAGGAACAUAAAACACUGGCGCUGAAGCGGAGCCCGCUGUGAUUGAUGUACACUGGAGAUAAAGCCAGGUACCUGCAGGAGACAGGGAGGGGCUACUGCCUUACAUGUAUUUUUAAUAUAAUA
rnacentral:lncRNA from 1 species